rnacentral:rRNA from 1 species
GUAGGGAAUAUUGCACAAUGGGGGAAACCCUGAUGCAGCGACGCCGCGUGAGUGAUGAAGGCCUUCGGGUCGUAAAGCUCUGUCGUAUGGGACUAACACAAUGAAGGUACCAUGCAAGAAAGGAUCGGCUAACUUCGUGCCAGCAGCCGCGGUAAGACGAGGGAUCCUAGCGUUGUUCGGAAUUAUUGGGCGUAAAGCGGGUGUAGGCGGAUUUGUAAGUCAGGUGUGAAAGCCCAGGGCUCAACCCUGGAAGUGCAUUUGAUACUGCUGAGCUUGAGUGUCGGAGAGGUUACCGGAAUACCUGGUGUAGUGGUGAAAUACGUAGAUAUCAGGUGGAACACCGGAGGCGAAGGCGGGUAACUGGACGAACACUGACACUGAGGCCCGAAAGCGUGGGGAUCAAACAGGAUUAGAUACCCGGGUAGUCC